rnacentral:rRNA from 1 species
GACGGGGGGGGCAAGUGUUCUUCGGAAUGACUGGGCGUAAAGGGCACGUAGGCGGUGAAUCGGGUUGAAAGUGAAAGUCGCCAAAAAGUGGCGGAAUGCUCUCGAAACCAAUUCACUUGAGUGAGACAGAGGAGAGUGGAAUUUCGUGUGUAGGGGUGAAAUCCGUAAAUAUACGAAGGAACGCCAAAAGCGAAGGCAGCUCUCUGGGUCCCUACCGAGGCUGGGGUGCGAAAGCAUGGGGAGCGAACAGG